rnacentral:tRNA from 3 species
GCCCCCGUAGCAUGAAGGUCGUGCAGUUGAUUUGUAAUCAUCAGGCGUUGGUUCGAUUCCGACCGGGGGCACCA